rnacentral:lncRNA from 1 species
GCCGGAGAAGAAGAACCAGACGCCGGAGGAGCCGGUCGCCGCCACCCGCCGCCGCACCGGAGAAGUUUCCGACCGCCAAUCGAGGUAAUUUUUCUCUCCCUUGCUCCUUUUUCGACUCUGAGUCCGCCUAUGGCCAAACCGGAGCCAAACCACCGGCCAAACGGUCGAAAAACCCAGCCGAAACCCAGCGGCGCCGCCGCGCCCCUCCUCGAUUUUUGCCUCCGAUGAGGCCCUUCCCGGCCUCCGUUUGAUGCAAAUUCUAUACCACUGUGAUCACCGUUCUUUUCUCUACAUGUUGAUCGGAGCCAAACAUCAAAACACGACUCACGCCGGAGGAGCCGCCGCACCCGAGAGCACCGCCGUCGAUAAGUUUCGGUUUUUCGUGAUUUUUCGGCCCACCGAGGGCCCUAGGGUUGUUCUAUCGCAGGGACCGAUGCAAGCGUGGCCGAAUUCGGCCGAAAACGGCCAACCUGAGGCGAAUCGCCGUCGCCGGAGCACAACAGAGCCGCCGUGCCGGAAUUGCGAUAUUGGCCGAAGGGGGCCCUAGGUCUAAUUUGGGAUUUUUUGGGACACGUGCAGGUACCAGUAGUACGUUUCAGUUCCCCAAGAAAAAUUCAGGAAAAAUUAGGGACAGCCUGUAGGCGCACUGUAGAGCCGUAUUCAGACCCCGAAAUAAGUAAGGACUCCUCACCCUAUUUCCUAUCACGGUAUUAAAGCUAAAUAAAUAAUUAAACUGUACUGUGUGACUUUAUAAAUGUAUAAUUGAUUAAGGUUGUCAAUGGAGCCCGAGUCUGAUACAGUGUUGAUCUGUUAUUGUUUGAUUUAAUUUUCAGUAUUAAAUGCAGCAUGAUGUUUGAUGUAAUUAUGUUAUGGUCUCGUAUGCAUGAAUCAUGGUUUCUUUUAUUAUAGUUUGUAUUAUAAUGAACCUGAUACUAUGUUGUCUUGUCUGGUGUUCAUUACUAGUUUAUAUGUUGUGUGUGUUUGGAUGAUUGAAACCAAGAAAAAAGGGCAAAAAAAGGUUAUGUGAAUUGAUAAGUGGAUAAUGUGGACAACCUGACUAGAUAUCCUGGGAGAUGGUAGACGGAUCGGGUCCGUAGGGAACCCUACCGGGAACGUGGUCUCUUAUACCGGACGGGAUAUGGAGACCUUAUGUGUUUUGACGCCCAUACCGGACGGGGUAUGGGGACGGCCCGUUUCACCCUCAUACCGGACGGGGUAUUGAGGUUCAUGAUUUUGGUGCCCAUACCGGACGGGGUAUGGGGACGACCCUGGAAUCAGGUUGUAAAUGUUAAGGUUCACGUGUAGAGGGGACCCCCUAUGGAUCCCCAGGGAUACUAGUAGGCUGGUAAAAGAUGAAAUCUGUUUUCUGAUGAUUGAAAUGUAAAGGUGUGAUAUAUGUUAUGUUAUAAAGUUCAUAUGAUUUCAUGAUGAUGAUAAUGUUAUUGCUUUCACAUGUUGUUUUAUGGAUCUCACCGAGGUAAGUGGACAGUAAAAGUUUUUAUGUUAAUAAAAAAAUUUAUUAUAAAUUAUGCUCCAUUGGUCUUUUUGUAUUUUUUACUCACCUUUACCUUCGUGGCGGUGAGAUAGUGUGAUGUCUUUACUGGGCUGGUGUAGCUCAUUCCUUAUUUAACCAUUUCAGAUCAUGAAGACAUUGUUCCCGAGCCCGUUCCGCAGGAAGACGGUGAAGAGGACGCCUAAAGACUCUGUAGUUAUAUUUAUAGUUCUUAUUUUCGAGUAUCUUUUUUAGUUAGUUGUUCUUUUAUAUUUUGAGCACGUUUUUAGUUUUUCUGUGUAAGAAAUGAUCAAAAUUUUUAUUACACUUUCGCAUUUGACAUUUUUAAUACACAUAUUUCAUUCUAAAUUUCCGAGGCCG